rnacentral:rRNA from 1 species
UGGGGAAUAUUGGACAAUGGGCGAAAGCCUGAUCCAGCCAUGCCGCGUGUGUGAAGAAGGCCUUUUGGUUGUAAAGCACUUUAAGCGAGGAGGAGGGUACUUGGAUUAAUACUCUAGGAUAGUGGACGUUACUCGCAGAAUAAGCACCGGCUAACUCUGUGCCAGCAGCCGCGGUAAUACAGAGGGUGCGAGCGUUAAUCGGAUUUACUGGGCGUAAAGCGUGCGUAGGCGGCUUUUUAAGUCGGAUGUGAAAUCCCUGAGCUUAACUUAGGAAUUGCAUUCGAUACUGGGAAGCUAGAGUAUGGGAGAGGAUGGUAGAAUUCCAGGUGUAGCGGUGAAAUGCGUAGAGAUCUGGAGGAAUACCGAUGGCGAAGGCAGCCAUCUGGCCUAAUACUGACGCUGAGGUACGAAAGCAUGGGGAGCAAACAGG